rnacentral:rRNA from 1 species
AACGAACGCUGGCGGCAUGCCUAACACAUGCAAGUCGAACGAGACCUUCGGGUCUAGUGGCGCACGGGUGCGUAACGCGUGGGAACCUGCCUUUAGGUUCGGAAUAACUCAGAGAAAUUUGAGCUAAUACCGGAUGGUGUCUUCGGACCAAAGAUUUAUCGCCUUUAGAUGGGCCCGCGUUGGAUUAGCUAGUUGGUGGGGUAAAGGCCUACCAAGGCGACGAUCCAUAGCUGGUCUGAGGGGAUGAUCAGCCACACUGGGACUGAGACACGGCCCAGACUCCUACGGGAGGCAGCAGUGGGGAAUAUUGGACAAUGGGCGAAAGCCUGAUCCAGCAAUGCCGCGUGAGUGAUGAAGGCCUUAGGGUUGUAAAGCUCUUUUACCCGAGAUGAUAAUGACAGUAUCGGGAGAAUAAGCUCCGGCUAACUCCGUG